rnacentral:rRNA from 1 species
UACGGAGGGGGCUAGCGUUGUCCGAAGUUACUGGGCGUAAAGCGCGCGUAGGCGGGUUGGUAAGUCCGCUGUGAAAGCCCGGAGCUUAACUCCGGAGGGUCGGUGGAUACUGCCAGUCUUGAAGGUGCUAGGGGGAGAUGGAAUUACCGGUGUAGCGGUGAAAUGCGUAGAUAUCGGUAGGAACACCAGUGGCGAAGGCGAGUCUCUGGACAUUUCCUGACGCUGAGGCACGAAAGCCAGGGGAGCAAACGGG